GGAGAGGUGUCCGAGCGGUUCAUGGUGACGCACUCGAAAUGCGUUAAGAAAGCAAUUUCUUCGAGAGUUCGAAUCUCUCCCUCUCCG
rnacentral:tRNA from 1 species